GCCCGCCUAGCUCAAUCGGAUAGAGCGUCAGACUUUUACAGAGGUCCGGGUGACUGGUCACUACUGUGAUCUGAAGGCUGCGAGUUCGACCCUCGCGGUGGGCU